rnacentral:rRNA from 1 species
UACGGAAGGCAGCAGGGGGAAUAUUGCACAAUGGGCGCAAGCCUGAUGCAGCCAUGCCGCGUGUAUGAAAAAGGCCUUCGGGUUGUAAAGUACUUUCAGUCGUGAGGAAGGUGUUAAGGUUAAUAACCUUAGCAAUUGACGUUAGCGACAGAAGAAGCACCGGCUAACUCCGUGCCAGCAGCCGCGGUAAUACGGAGGGUGCGAGCGUUAAUCGGAAUUACUGGGCGUAAAGGGCACGCAGGCGGUUAAUUAAGUUGGAUGUGAAAUCCCCGGGCUUAACCUGGGAAUGGCAUUCAAGACUGGUUAGCUAGAGUCUUGUAGAGGGGGUUAGAAUUCUAUGUGUAGCGGUGAAAUGCGUAGAGAUGUGGAGGAAUACCGGUGGCGAAGGCGGCCCCUGGACAAAGACUGACGCUCAUGUGCGAAAGCGUGGGGAGCAAACAGGGAUUAGGAUACC